rnacentral:rRNA from 1 species
GAUGAACGCUAGCGGCAGGCUUAACACAUGCAAGUCGAGGGGUAUUGGUUUUCGGACCAAGAGACCGGCGCACGGGUGCGUAACGCGUAUGCAAUCUACCUUUUGCAGAGGGAUAGCCCCAGAGAAAUUUGGAUUAAUACCCUCAUAGUAUAGUACUUUGGCAUCAAGGAACUAUUAAAGUCACAACGGCAAAAAGAUGAGCAUGCGUCCCAUUAGCUAGUUGGUAAGGUAACGGCUUACCAAGGCUACGAUGGGUAGGGGUCCUGAGAGGGAGAUCCCCCACACUGGUACUGAGACACGGACCAGACUCCUACGGGAGGCAGCAGUGGGGAAUAUGGACAAUGGGCGAAAGCCUGAUCCAGCAAUGCCGCGUGAGUGAU